rnacentral:rRNA from 1 species
AACGAACGCUGGCGGCAUGCCUAACACAUGCAAGUCGAACGAGACCUUCGGGUCUAGUGGCGCACGGGUGCGUAACGCGUGGGAAUCUGCCCUCAGGUACGGAAUAACUCAGGGAAACUUGAGCUAAUACCGUAUAAUGACUUCGGUCCAAAGAUUUAUCGCCUGGGGAUGAGCCCGCGUCGGAUUAGCUAGUUGGUGAGGUAAAGGCUCACCAAGGCGACGAUCCGUAGCUGGUCUGAGAGGAUGAUCAGCCACACUGGGACUGAGACACGGCCCAGACUCCUACGGGAGGCAGCAGUGGGGAAUAUUGGACAAUGGGCGCAAGCCUGAUCCAGCAAAGCCGCGUGAGUGAUGAAGGCCUUAGGGUUGUUAAAGCUCUUUUACCCGGGAAGAUAAUGACUGUACCGGGAGAAUAAGCCCCGGCUAACUCCGUGCCAGCAGCCGCGGUAAUACGGAGGGGGCUAGGCGUUGUUCGGAAUUACUGGGCGUAAAGCGCACGUA